rnacentral:rRNA from 1 species
UAAGGAGGGUGCAAGCGUUAUCCGCAAUUACUGGGUUUAAAGGGUGCGUAGGCUGUUAAUUUAGUCAGAGGGGAAAGGUAAUUGCUUAAUGAUUUUUUUGCCUUUGUUUCUGGGUAACUUGAAAGGAUAUGAGGCUUGCGGAAUUUGAUAUGUUGCGGUAAAAUGUGUAGAUAUAUCAUAGAACAUCAAUUGCGAAGGCAGCUGACUAAUCUUUCUUUGAUGCUGAGACUAGAAGGCGGGGUUAGCAAUCUGG